AUGAACGCUGACAGAAUGCUUAACACAUGCAAGUCAACUUGAAUUUGGGUUUUUAACUUAGGUUUGGGUGGCGGACGGGUGAGUAACGCGUAAAGAACUUGCCUCACAGCUAGGGACAACAUUUGGAAACGAAUGCUAAUACCUAAUAUUAUGAUAAUAGGGCAUCCUAUAAUUAUGAAAGCUAUAAGCGCUGUGAGAGAGCUUUGCGUCCCAUUAGCUAGUUGGAGAGGUAACGGCUCACCAAGGCGAUGAUGGGUAGCCGGCCUAAGAGGGUGAUCGGCCACAAGGGGACUGAGACACGGCCCUUACUCCUACGGGAGGCAGCAGUGGGGAAUAUUGGACAAUGGACCGAGAGUCUGAUCCAGCAAUUCUGUGUGCACGAUGAAGUUUUUCGGAAUGUAAAGUGCUUUCAGUUGGGAAGAAACAAAUGACGGUACCAACAGAAGAAGUGACGGCUAAAUACGUG
rnacentral:rRNA from 1 species